rnacentral:misc_RNA from 1 species
CGCAAGCAUAACCUAGGCAAAACUUUGACAGCAAUUCAUAAGAGAAACAAAAUAAUUGCUAGGCGAAGCACAAUAUGUGCCAACAUAUGCUAUUCAUAAUAGUGAAAAGUAUAGAUGGGUUCUUUACAACUUUGGCCAUUACAAUUAAAAUACCAUUAACUGACUAUUACUGAGACUAAGCACUAAGCAUUGUAAUGUAAAACCAAAAAAGGUAACUAAAUUGCUGUCCUAACCAUAAAUGCUGCCAUAUUUUCCACAGCCGCUGCCUAUACAAAUGAUGUUGUUUCCCUUCCUAUUGGCUUAUUUGAUAUUGCUACCAGAAUAAACAAAUGAUAUCAGACAACUUUUGCUUGUAACUAUGCAGUCUUAUUCAGGCUAAAAUGGAGAAGCCACUAACCCAACAGUAAUACAAGCAACUAGUCUUCUGUCUUUCUACAUUUUGCAGCUAAACCAUGCAUAUCACCUAUGAGCAGUUGUGGGUGGCAUUGGAUAUGUCAUAGGACCCAUGCUCAUUGGUGCACCAGGUACCACUCCUGAUACCGUUCCUGGUACUGGGGCUCUAACUCCAAAAGCCAUGUGUGCAGGGGCAGAAAGAUUAACAGGGGUGCCAACAGCUGAAACAAGGGGCCCUCCUAUUGGCUGCCCUAUGGAUGGUGGACCAUAUACACCAACUCCUGCUCCUGGGGGUCCAGCAGGAUGUUGAGGUGGUUGUUUGGCCGCUUUGCCAGCAGACCCUCCUGCAGCAGAACCAUUUGUUUGACCAGUUAUUGGUCCUUGUGGUGCUGAAAUGUCUCCAUUGCCAACACUGGUGAUGUCAUGUAUGCUAGAUCGCCUCCUAUCUUUGUUCAUUGAGUUCAAACGAAUGAAAUACUUUUGUGCAUGGCUAGCCACUUGUGUAGGUGUUCUUGUCACAACAAAGUUUCUUGAAAUACUUCGCCAAUCACCUUUCCCAUACUUGUCCAAACCAAGAAGAAAUAACCUGUGCUCAUCCUCCGUCCAAGCAAUUCCUUUUCGACGUUCUUGAUCUGACCGGGACGCCUUAUUUCCAUGAGUAGACUCACUGUUAUGAUGUCCCAGGUGGCCACCCUUCUUACUAGUUCCUUCAUCGCCAGCAUGGCUCACUGAACCCUCUGAAGAAGAGUAGUUAGGCAGAGGCACACAGCCAGCUUCUAUCUGAUUCAAAUCUUCAACCAGAAGUUCAUAGUGAAGUUUAAUCUCUUCUUGAGUUUUCCCAGGAACAUCAGCUGCAAUCUUCUCCCACCGAUCUAGAGCAUCCUCAGCAUAUGUUGCAAGGGCAUUCUCAAAUGCCUUAUCCUGCUCUCUAGUCCACAAAGUGCUACAGCCCACUCCAUCCACAGUCAUCUAGACUUGUUUGAAUCCACAAUCCAGAAUUCACUCACAACACAAGGAAAGAAGUCUACCAAAGGUGCUUUAGAAGGUAGGCUAACCUAUAAGCCAAUCUCAAAAAGCAGGGAUUUUCUAGAACAGUUCUUGAAAUUUGGAUCUGAAUUAUUUCUAUAUUUGGUAUCACCAACAACAGGAGAGAUGGUAAGCAGGAUGUGCCAGGAUAUAGAGAUAAGGACGAAGAGAAACAAAGAGGAACCCCCAAAAAGGCCAAGAGUGCUGAACCAGAGAUCACCUCCAAUAAAAAUCACAAAACCCCAGCAGAGUAUGUGAAGAAUUCAAUGGUGAUUUGCUCCACAAUUAAAAAAAAUGGCGCUUGUGAAUUGCUGACCUAUUGUUGAAUGAAAAGCAACAAAGUUCAGUUAGAACAUGAGAAAUAUCUGAAAACCAUUAAAUCAAAGAUGCAAUAAAUUGCAGUUUAAAGCGAAUAAAAAAAAUGGCAUAUACAGAAAUUAAUGUGACGGUGAAUUGAAUAGUGAAUGGUAAUUAGGGUUCUGCAGAGUGAGAUGUGAAAGAGACAAUAAAGAAACCAAACAAAGAAGAAAAACCCAGAAACCGACAAUGAUGAGAACAGUUUUAACAGAAAAGGCCCACAAAACUUAUCAUUCAAUAUCUCAGCUUUUUAUGCUGAAAUUUUUACAGCGUAGGCUCCAGCUUCACAUUCUUUGUUUUCUUAUUAACGUAACUCUUGAAAGAAGAGGGAGCCAAUGCAUCUCACUUGGGAAUCAACAACGGGCAGAAAUUCAUAUCAAAAAUAAAAACUAAUUAAAACAAAAGCUCCAAAAUUUUUGCCCAAUUCAAAACCACACGCAUAACCCUUUUUGGGAUCCAAUCAUAUAUCCUUUUUCUUCUUUUUCAGUCAAUGAAAUCCAGAAAGUAAAAAAUUACCACCUGAUAUCUACCACAAGUUUAAGUACCCACAAGGCGAUUCUCGAAUCUUGGAUAUAGAAAACCAUUAAUUGAAAAUAGACAAGCAGUGACCCAAGAUUUUUCUAUUCUUUAUUAUACAAGAAAGUUUUCUAACUCCAUAUUCCUACAGCUUUUACUGUUAGGUCCCAGUAAAUGUGAAAAAUGCUAUAAGUAAACAUUACCUACAAACUCAAGUACUGGCUCUGCCUAGAUUUUGACACUUCAACUAACACUCAAAAACUCUACUAGUGACACAGACUAUCCAAACAUGAAAGUGAAAAAGCAUAAACUCACAGUGCAAACCUUACUCCCAAG